CACAGGGUGUGUUCACAGGGGCAGGUGGCAGCCGCAGGCCUGGGCUGAGGUGCCCGCGAGCUGGCUGGGCCGCAGAGCCGGGCAAUGCGUGAGCCCUCCCGGCGGCUUCUCCCGCAGGAAGCCGGAAAAGAGGCCCAGAACCGGGGGCAGCCGGCGGGCGAGCAGAAUGAGACUGCAACUCCUGUGUUACUGCCGAGACACGCGCAAAGGGCCCAGGGCAGAGCCGACCUGGAGAGGACUUCGCAAGACACAAUUGUAGCAGGGUGUGGAUGCAGCCAGGCGCCCUGAGACAGACCCCAUCCUCCCGGCAGCCUGGGUCAGGAACAGCUUGAAGACUCCUGAGAAGAGGGUGAGUGUCCUUAAUGGAGGAAUAGAUAAGCCAGUGCCUCCAUUCACCUUGCAUCCACCCAUCCACCUGUCCGUCCACCCAUCCAUUCAUCUGCUAUCUACCCAUCCAUCUAUCCACCCAUCUGUCCAUCUGUCCAUCCGCCCAUCCAUGCAUCUGCUUGUCUAGUCUUUCCCCAUCAAACCAUUACUAUAGGCCAGUAACAGGCCAGCUGUGUUUUCUGCAUUGGAAAGACAGAAAACAAGGCAUGGAAGUCCAGCCUUGAGACUCACUGACAAUAAACACAGAAACAAAUGUACACAAAAGGAGCUGUCAGGUCGCACCCAGUGCUGUGAACAGAGUGAGAGGGGGAGCGGGAGGGAGCCGCUGGCCUGUGGAGGCUGCUCCUUCAGCCUGGAGGUCAGAGAAGGGUCUAGGAGGAGUCGUGAGGAGGCAGCUCCCCCAGGUCUAGGCGAAGAGCAUCCUGGGAAGUGAGCCUGAAGUGGCAAGGGGGCACAGCCAGCAUGGCUGGAGCCUCAGCGCAGGGACAGCGCCAGGAGGUGAGGUUUCCUGUCCCCUGGGCCCUCCCAGGUCCUCCUCCCCGUUGUCAUUGUCACGUACUUGUUUGUUAACCUCAGCUUCCAAACCAGAGGCACUCUGGAUGAUGCCGGAGGCAGGGGCCUGGGGCACGGUUCCCGGAGCCUCCGCUUCCAAUUGAUGUCUUCACAAGAAUCCAGACUCUCAGUCUUCUUGGGAGUGGGUUUGCUGGAGCGAAGGUGGGGAGGAGCGCAGCUGCCGCCCCCCCCCAGACCAGACGGGAGUGGGGGGGGCGUCCUGGGGAAAUGGGGCAGAACUGGGUCACGAAGAAGACGCACAGACACGCUCCACACAGCGUGCCCGCCUGCCCCCUGCGUCUUGGUUUUCUCGCAUGCCCUUGUCGCUCCUGUCAUUUCUCCUUGAGAAUCAAGUUGUUUGGGGAAGAGAAAACCAGUUGUGUAACUGUGUCGGUCGGCAGCGCGUUCUAAUUUUAAAAAAUGUGUCACUCUCCGAGCUGCGCGUCCCUUAAUCAGGCAAUUACUUUCUGAUGUAGUAUAGUUAAGGGUGGAGGGGAAGGGAAGGAGAGGGAAAAGCAAAGCCACCGGCCCUUGAAAUCUCAAACAAUUUCUGGAGGAGAAUUAAUUUGGUAAAUGUUUGACUUGAGCUCAAGAAUGUCUUUUGUUUCCAUUUCUAAAUGACAAAAGGGACACAAAGGGAAGGUAAUAAUUUGGCUUUAAUCAAUCUCCCUCAUUAAAAUUAGCUCCCCAAACCCAGGGUGUCAUGGAAAUGGUGAAAGGUUGGGGGGCCUGGAGGCUGGCAGUGGGGUAUUUCCCGGGCGUGGCCCCGGGGUAUGUGGGACAGGACAGAAUGGGGGCGCUCAAGCUGCAAUAGUGGCCAUCUUGGGCUGAGGGGCUCUGUGUGUAGCCCCUGUUCCAAGCCUUUGCAGACACCCUCCUGCUCCCCACGGGGCAAUCCUGCGAGGCACACGUUGCUACGCCCAUUUCUCAGUAACAGAAACUGAGUGCUGGGGAGGCUGGGGAACAUUCUCCACACUCAGCUCCAAGUGGCACAGCUGGGACGUGAAGCCAGGUCCUCUCACUCCCAGUGCCCUGCUCCACCAUCGCCCCCGUCCAUCCUGAAGGCCUCCUGCCUCUGCCAUGGCCUUGGGUGGGGCCAGGUAGACCUCACACGGCAGGAGGGGCUGCCCACAGGCCUAGGGAGAUGGAUCACGAACCUUGGGAGGUGGAUCAAGCCAGCUCUACAGCACAGCCUGUGACUCCGGCAUCCCAUAUGGGUGCCAGUUUGAGUCCCAGCUGCUCCAUUUCCAAUCCAGCUCCCUGCGGAUGCACCUGGGGAAGCAGUAGAAGAUGGCCCAAGUGCUUGGGGCCCUGCACCCAUGUGGGAGACUGGAUGGUGUUCCCGACUUCUGGCUUUGGCCUAGUCCAGCCCUGGCCAUUGCAACCAUUUGGAGAGUGAACUAGUAGAUAGAGGA